rnacentral:lncRNA from 1 species
ACAAAAUAUUAAAAACACACCUGGAAAUCAAGAUUACAAGGAGAUGGAGAGAAUUUGAGAAGAAGAGAGUUGUAGAGAUAUGAUUAAAAAUAUAAAAAUGAGGCUCUAUUUAUAGAAAAACAAAUUCAUAAUCCAGUGCUUUGCGGUCCAUCAUAAGCUUCAUGCAUGUGCUCCUCACAACCCUUAGAUCAAGAUCCAAUGGCUGGUCAAACUUCAAAAGUCAACAUCACACAUGGCAUCAUUUGACUCGUCCGAUUUGCCCAAAGAAUGGUUGAGAUUUGGCGGGUUAAUGAGUGAAUCGGGUCGACCCGAAUACAAAGAUUCGGAUCCUCCAACUUGCUUCACCAACCAUUGCCACGUGGCACAAUCAUGCCAUUGAAUCAUGAACGGUUGAGAUUUAGUCAAGAUUGCCAGCUAUCCCAUACACUCAUAUCUAUUGUAAGCUCAUUUCAUCAUCCAAUCAGUACUCGGUCAACAUGAAAAGUCAACUUUUUUUACACAAGCCCAAUUUUAAGCUAAUAAUGACUGAUCUUAAGGUUUUCGGACCUCCGGAAUCCAAAUUUGACCUCCGUUUAUCUGUUUGGAGCCUCGAAGUACGUGAAAGUAAUAUUUUUCCUAAUAAACACAUAAAAAUACACAAAAUUAAAUAUAUUUAAAACAUAAUUCAUAAUUCAUAAUAUAUUACAUAAACACAAAUAUAAAUUAAAACAUAAGCAUAAAAUAACAUGUUAUCGCUUGAUAAUUAAAUAAUUUUUAAUACUAAUCAAAGAUCUCUUUAGUUUCUUUAGUUGAAAGAAUUGAAACACAAGAAACUCGAGAGAAAAUAUUCCAUGCAUGACAUGUGGCAACUCACUAUUUAGUCACUAUGUUGUUCACUUAUGAACUUUUCAGUAAUUCUGAAGUGUUAGUUGAGUUUUCUCUUAGCUCUAAUUAUUUACAAUUGAGCUAUAACAGCUAGCUCUAACGAUUUUAAUAUUGAGCUAUACAUGGUUCUGGAAAUUUACUAAGAGACUUCUUAACUUCAUUAUUAUAGUAAAUUACUCAGAACCUUUUUCAGCACCUUAUCAUGGCAAUUUGCUCGAGAGCUUUCUUACCUCUCUGAUCGGAGAUUUCUUUAGAAGAUUUCUUUGCUCUCUAAUCGUGACGAUUCCCUCAGGAGCAUUUUAUUUCUCUGAUCAUAGUGAUUCUUUGAAAAGCUAUCUUAACUCUCUAAUCAUGGUGAUUCUUUCAAGAGCUUUCUUAACUCUUUGAUCAUGGGAAUUCGAUCAAAAGCUCUCUAAUUUCUCUAAUCAUAGUGAUUUACUCAGGAGCUUUCUUAGCUCUCUAGUCAUGGUGAAUUUUUCAAGAGUUUUCUUAGUUGCUUGAUCCUAGCAAUUCGCUCGGUCGCUUUUAUAGCUUCUGAUCAUGGUGAUUCUUUCAAGAGAUUUUUUAGCUAGAUCCCGGCGAUUCCCUUUGGAGCUUUCUUAGCUCUCUAAUGCUAGUGAUUUUCUCAAGAGCUUUUUGAUUAGUGUUAAAAAUUGUAUGUUUAUUAAGGGGUAAAAAUGUUAUUUUGUGCUAUUAAUGUAAUUUAUAUUUGUAAUUAUGUAACAUAUUGUGAAUUUCUAAUUAUUUUUCUAAGUAUUUGAUUUUGUGUAUUUUUGUGUGUUUAUUAGGUAAAAAUAAUAAUUUCAUGCAAUUUGAAGAUUCAAACAAAUGUACAGAAGUCAAAUUUAGAUUCCGGAAGUCCGAGAAAUUAUGUCAUUGUCCAGGAGGAUCCGAGACUUUUGUUGUAAAUUUUUACGUUUUUGCCACGGUAAAUGUGGUAAUUGUAAAAUUAUAAGUUUUUAUCAUGUUAGGUAUGGUAAUUGUUAGUGGAAUGUGUUGGAUAUGCUUGAGUGGAUUAAGUUAAGUUUAUGUUUUAUUAAUGGGAUUAUUAGUGGGACAAAUGUAAGGUUAAUAUGUACUUAGAUUUUUUUAUUUGUGUGGUGUGGAUUUACCAUGUAUUAGUAUAAAUAGAGAGGGGGGUGAACACACCUCUACGCACUUUCUCUUCUCUUCUUUCCUCCCAAAUUCCUCUUCUCAUUUCUCCUUGUAAUAUAUUUUCCAUAAAUAAAAUUAGUUUUAUUUUCAAUUUUCAAGCAUUUUUUAAUUAUAUCUUUUUUGUUUUUAAAGAAAAUUCCUUUUAUUUUAAAUAUGUUUAGCUAAAUAUUAGCAGUUAGGGGAAUGUGAAACUCUUAGUAAAAAAAUAUGGUUUAAUCAAAUUCUAUUUUUAAUUUUAUCCAUAUUUUAUAUUUUGAAAUUUUGAUUUAGUGUAGACAAAAAUAGGAAUUUGGCACAAUAAAUUCUUAAUAUCUUAGUAUAAAAUAUGGAAAAAUGGUAUUUGAUUUAGUGUAGACAAAGUAAGUUUUGGCACAUUAAAUUCUCAGUCCACAAUAAAAUAAAUGGGAAAAUAUUUUUAAUUUGUACAAUUAAUCUUUUGGGAAAUAAAAUAAAAAUAAAAAGAAUUUGUUAAAUUGUAUUUAUUACUAAGAGUGGAUCCAUAACCCUAACUAAUUCAAUUUUAUACUUUUUUUAAAUAAAAUAAAUAUUUAUAAAUUUUAUUUUUAUUUGGAUAAACUUAAGUAAACAAAUUAAAUCCUUUAUCUGUGAAUCGAUCUCGGACUCACCGAGUUAUAAUGUAAUAAGACACUCUUAUACUUGAGAGUAGAAAUCACUUUUAAGUCGUGUCAAGUUUUUGGCGUCGUUGCCGGUGAGAGGUAUUUAUUUUGUUUUAUUUUUCCUUUUAUUUUUUUUACUUUUUGUGUAAAUUUUUGUUUGCCCCCUUUUCCUUUUCUUAAAUUCUCUUCUAUCCCCACAUCUUUCAUAAUUAUAGUUUCACCCCAACAAUUCUCGUUUCUAGCUCAUUCUUCUCAUAAUUAUGUUCUGACCCUAUAAUCUUUCAGAAACCUCACGUUCAUCCCACAUGGCUCAAUUCUGAAAUUCUAAAAAUUACGGUGUGCCAUAAAAUUAUAAAUAAUUUGUAAUAAGAUCCCUAGACGAAAUUUCUCACAAUAAUUAGACUUGGACUUAUUUGGACUCAAUUUGGACUUAAUUUGGACUAAGCAAACUAACUACUAACUCUUAACUAACUAACUACUAAUUUUUUAACAAACUAACUACUAAUUUUUUUUAUUUCAGUUUUUUUAUUUCGCAUUUUUUAUGCUUUAUUUUAUUUUGUUAAUUUAUAUGGUGGGUUCAACCAUCAGAAUUGUUAUUUAAUUUUAAGUUAUUAAUUUUCUUUUGUACACUUAUAUUAUUUGCAUAUUUAAUUUUCAUUUUUUUCUUUGUUGCAAUUUUCAUUUAGUUUUUGUAUUACUAAUUUAUUUGAAUAUUAUCUUUGUGACAUAACCAUUGCAUGAGACGUUGGACUCGAACUUCAAGUGGCAGGUUAAUUCGUAGUUCUUAAUCACCACCACCAAUCAUGGACGAGAUCCAAGAUGAAAAUAAUUUAGGCCAACUUAAUCCUCCAAUCGAUCAAGGAGACGACCAAUCUCAACAUGAUCAGAAUCAACCGAGAACUUUGAGAGACUACAUGAAUCCAACCACAACCGGAGCACGGUUGUGUAUAGUAUUUCAUCUAGAAGUAUCUCGAUUCAACUUCAAACCAAGUAUUAUCCAACUUUUACCAACAUUUCAUGGUUUAGAAUCUGAGAAUCCAUACUUGCAUCUAAGAGAUUUUGAAGAAGUUUGUAAUAUAUACACAGACCAAAAUUGUAGCAUGAAUAUAAUUAGAUUAAAGGUUUUUCCUUUUUCAUUAAAAGAUAAAGUUAAAACUUGGUUAUAAAACCUUAGAUCUGGAUCAAUAAGAACUUAGAAUAACAUGCAAGAACAGUUUUUGAAAAAAAUUCUUUCCACCUCAUAAAACAAAUCUUUUAAAAGGAAAAUCACUUCUUUCGCUCAAAAAAAUGGAGAAACACUAUACCAAUGUUGGGAUGGAUUUAAAGAAUUGCUUAACAUAUGUCCACACCAUGGUUUUGAAACUUGGCAAUUGAUCACUUAUUUCUACAAGGGCUUAUCACCACAAAGUAAACAAGUUGUAGAAAUGAUUUGUAAUGGUGAAUUUAGAGAUAAAAAUCCUGAAGAUGCACUAGAUUACCUUGACCAAUUAGCUGAAAAUGCACAACAUUGGGAUACUGUUGGAACUUUUGAAUUGACUAAUAAACCACAACCAUCUCCAUCUAGUGGAGGAAUCUACAACCUUAAAGAAGAUCAUGAUCUACAAAAAAAAUUUGCAUCUCUAGUUAGGAAGGUUGAAGCGUUGGAAAAUAAAAAGAGUGAUCAAGUAAAAUUUGUUCAAGAAAUUGCAUGUAAUGUUUGUAGUUCUAAUGAUCAUUUCACUCAAGAUUGUCUCACUCUGCCUGCACUUAAAGAAUGUUUACAUGAUCAAGCUGAUGCCAUCAACACUUUUAACAAGCCAAACCCAUAUUCACAUACUUAUAAUCCUGGUUGGAGAAAUCAUCCAAAUUUUAGUUGGAGGAAUAAUAAUAAUGCACAAUCUUCACAAGCACCACCUCCACAAAAUUUUCAAAAUAUUUAGUCUUAUGCACCAUAUAUUCCACCACCAUGGAAAAAUUUGGAAGAUACAAUGCAUUCAUUCAUUAAGAAGUAAGAUGCUAUUAAUAAUCAAAAUGCACAAACCUUUUCUGAUUUGAAAGAUACUCUUGCUAAAAUUGCUUCUGCAUUCACAAUUCAAGAAAAAAGAAAAUUUCCAGCUCAACCAAAACCAAAUCCUAAGAUUCAAAAUGCACCCAUGGACCAAGUUAAGUCAGUUAUAACUCUUCGCAGUGGUAAGGUUAUUGAUCGGCCUAUUCCUGAACCUUGUGAAAAUGAAAAUUGAAAGGGUAAAGAAGAAAUAGAUAAACUUACACCUAGUGAAGAAAUAACUAUUAUUCCAUCUGAACCACCAUUUCCGCAUGCAUUGAAUAAACCAAGGAAAUCAAAUGACUCUUCUGAAAUUUAUAAAAUCUUUAAGCAAGUGAAAGUUAAUAUUCCUCUGUUAGAUGCAAUCAAGCAGGUACCUUCAUAUGCCAAAUUUUUAAAGGACUUAUGUACUGUUAAGAGGAAAUUGAAAGUAUAAAAUAGUGCUUUUAUGGCUGAAUAGGUAAGUACCAUUCUGUCUACCAAUAAUAAGUUGAAAUAUAAAGAUCCAAGUUGUCCUACUAUUUCUUGUAUUAUUGGAGAUCGCAAAAUUGAGCAUGCUUUGUUAGACCUUGGUGUUAGUGUUAAUUUGCUUCCAUAUUCAGUUUAUCUUCAACUUAAUCUUGGUGAGUUAAAAUCAACUUCACUUACAUUUUUGCUUGCCGAUAGAUCAGUUAAAGUACCAAAAGGAAUAGUAGAAGAUGUUUUAGUACAAGUUGAUAAAUUUAUAUCCUGUGGAUUUUAUUGUCUUAGAAACUGAACCUGUUGUGAAUAAUUAUAAACCAAUUUCUGUAAUUUUAGGUCAACCAUUUUUAAUAACUGCUAAUGCUUUGAUUAAUUGUAGGAAUGGUUUAAUGAAUUUGUCAUUUGAAAUAAUGACUCUGAAAUUGAAUAUUUUCAACAUGUGUUGGCAACCUAAUGAAGAAAAUGAAAUGAAGAUGAAGUUGAUGAGCAAAAGGAAUUGCUUGAAUCUUCCAUAGAGGAGAAUAUUCAGAAAGGGAAUUUUUCUGAACUUAGUGACAUUUGUUUGGUUAAUUCUAUUGAAUCAAAUAAACAACUUGAACAUGAUACUUCUAAUAUAAAUUUGUUGUUUGAUUCUUGUCAGACUUUACAAAGUGAUGAUGGUAAACCAAAAAUUGAGAAGGUUGGAAUCAUUGAAAAGACUGAACAACAAGAAGCACCUAAACUGGAAUUGAAAUAUUUGCUAGAGGGAUUAAAGUAUGCUUAUCUUGGAGAAGAACAAACUUAUCUUGCUGUGAUUUCUUCGACUUUAUCAAGCGACUAAGGAGGUAAGUUACUAUAUGUUCUUAAAAAGCAUAAAAACGCAACUAGAUGGACUUUAAAUGACAUUAAAUGUAUUAAUCCUUUAAUUUGCAUACAUAGAAUCAAUUUGGAAGAAAAUGUUAAAACAUGUCAACAAACUCAAAAAAGAUUAAACCCACACAUGAAAGAAGUAGUAAAAACAGAAGUUCUUAAGUUACUUGAUGCGAGAAUUAUCUACCCUAUCUCUUAUAGGAAGUGGGUAAGUCCUAUACAAGUAGUGCCUAAAAAAUCUGGAAUCACUGUUGUUAAAAAUGAAAAAGAUGAACUAAUUCCAACACGAAUUACAUCUAGUUGGCACAUGUGCAUUGAUUAUAGGAAAUUAAAUGAAGCCACUAGAAAAUAUCAUUUUCCAUUACCAUUUCUUGACCAAAUCUUAGAAAGAGUAGUCGGACAUCCCUACUACUGCUUUUUAGAUGGAUAUUCAGGUUAUUAUCAAAUUCCUAUAGUACUUGAAGACCAAGAAAAAACCAUAUUUACAUGUCCCUUCGGAACAUUUGCAUUUAAAAUAAUGUCAUUUGGACUCUGUAAUACUCCUGCAACAUUUCAAAGAUGCAUGCUAAGUAUUUUCACUGAUAUGAUUGAACGUUGUUUAGAGGUCUUUGUGGAUGAUUUGACUGUGUUUGAGAAUUCUUUUGAUGAUUGCCUUGAUAAUUUGGAAAAAGGUUUAAAAGAUGUGUUGAAAAGAACUUGUUUUAAAUUGGGAAAAAUGUUAUCACAUGGUUACUUCUGGAAUUGUUUUGGGUCAUGUUGUAUAUGUUAAAGGAAUUGAAGUUGACAAAGAAAAAAUUGAAGUCAUAUCUAAAUUGCUAUAACCAAAAACAGUUAGAGAUGUAUGAUCCUUUUUAGGACAUGCAGGAUUUUAUAGGAGGUUUAUAAAAAAUUUUAAUGUCAUAUCUAAACCACUUUGUAACCUCUUAUUAAAAGAUUGAGAAAAUAAUUUUUCUUUUAACAUAUGCACCUAUUAUGCAAUUUCUUGAUUGGUCUUUACCUUUUGAAUUAAUGUGUGAUGCAAGUGACUUUGCUGAUGAUGUUGUUUUAGGACAAAGAAAUGAUGGUAAGCCAUUUGUGAUUUAUUAUGCGACGAAGACUUUGGAUAGUACUCAAAUGAAUUAUUCAACAACUGAAAAAGAAUUACUUGUUGUGGUGUUUGCAUUAAACAAAUUCCGUUCAUAUUUGCUUGGUUCUAAAACUGUUAUUUUUACUGAUCACGCUGCUGUGAGAUAUUUGAUGACUAAACAGGAUGCCAAACCAAGACUAAUUCGUUGGAUUUUGUUACUUAAGAAUUUGACCUCACCAUUAAAGAUAAAAAGAGUGUCGAAAAUGUCGUUGCUGAUCAUUUAUCAAGACUCACAUCUGAGAUCUACACUGAUAUAAUACCCAUCAAUGAUUCCUUUCCUAAUGAAUUUUUAUUAUCUGUUACUUCAAUAGCAUGGUAUGCUAACAUUAUUAAUUUCCUUAUUACAGGUAAAAUGCCUUCGCAGUGAAAUACUCAGGAGAAGAAGUAUGCUAACAUUGUUAAUUUCCUUAUUACAGGUAAAAUGCUUUCACAGUGAAAUACUCAGGAGAAGAAGAAAUUGUUUGUUGAAGGAAAGAAAUUUUAUUAGGAUGGUCCUUACUUGUUUAAAUAUUGCCCUUAUCAGAUUUUUCGACGAUGCAUUCCUGAUAAUGAGGUAAGUAGUGUCAUUAAUUUUUGUCAUUCUGAAGCAUGUGGUGGACACUUUUCUUCAAGAAAAACUACGGCUAAAAUUUUGCAAUGUGAAUUUUAUUGGCCUACCAUAUUCAAAGACACAUAUAAAAUUUGCAAAACUUGUGAAAACUGUCAAACAUUAGGAUUAAUUACUAAAAGAAACAUGAUGCCCUUAAAUCUCAUACUUGAGAUUGAAAUAUUUGACUAUUGGGGAAUUGAUUUUAUGAGUUUAUUUCCACCAUCUUUUGGAUUUGUGUACAUAUUAGUUGCAGUUGAUUAUGUCUUAAAAUAGAUUGAAGCAAUGUCUUGUCGAAAUAAUGAUAGUAAAACUGUCGUUAAAUUUUUAAGAGAAAACAUUUUAAGUCGAUUUGAAAUCCCUCGAGUCAUUAUUAGUGAUGGAGGUAAGCAUUUUUGUAAUAAGUCAUUUGAUCCUUUAAUAAAAAAAUAUGGAAUUACACAUAAAAUUACUACCCCUUGUCAUCCUCAAACAAAUGGUCAAGUUGAAUUAACAAAUAGGGAGAUAAAAUAAAUUUUAGAAAAAACAGUUAAUCCAAAUCGCAAAGAUUGGUCUCUUCGAUUGAUUGAUACACUUUGGGCCUACGAUACUACAUUUAAAACGUCUUUAGGAAUGUCACCCUAUCGACUAGUUUAUGGUAAACCUUGUCACUUAUCUGUUGAACUUAAGCAUAAAUCAUUUUGGGCUAUUAAAGCUUUUAAUUUAAAUUUGGAUGAUGCUGGUAAUGUGCGAAAAUUGUAAUUGAAUGAACUUGAAGAAUUAAGAAAUGAUGCAUAUGAAAAUUCAAGAAUUAUUAAGGCAAGAACAAAAAAAUUUCAUGACAAAAGAAUUUUUCGAAAAACAUUUGAAAUUUGUCAAAAAGUAUUGCUUAUAAUUUUUUUUUUCAUUUGUUUCUAGGAAAGUUAAAGUCAAAGUGGAGUGGCCCAUUUAUUGUAAAAAAUGUAUAUCCACAUGGGGCUGUAGAAAUUGAGAAACAAAAAAUAGUGUCACAUUUAAAGUUAACGGACAAAUAAUAAAGCCCUAUCUAGAAUACCAACCACGUGAAGCAAGCACAGAAAUAAAUUUGAUUGACCCACCAAAUCUUGAUUAAGUUUUUAAUUUGUGUUUUAACUUUUCACUGUUGUUUUACCGUUUGAAUUGUUUGAAUGUCUUGAAUGAUACGCGUUGUGACGUUUCUUGUUUAAGUGUGUUUAAUAAUUGUGUUUUCUUAAUCAUUCUACAUCAUGAGCACCUCAAUAAGGAAGAUUAUGUUCACACAUCUUAAAAGACUUUUGCGAAUAAAAUUUCACUUGAGAAGAUUGAAACAAAGUUGUAAAUCACAUCCAAUUUGGGAACGACAACCACCAGAAUUAGUGGCCUACGUUGAGGAUCAAGAAAGACAACUCAGAGCAAUAGAGCGUGGUAUAUAUGAAUUUCAAUUGGAGCUUGAGGUUAACUCAAUGAGAGGACGAAUGUAAGUUCAUUUUCCUUUGUACAUAUUGUGUUUCUUUUUGUUGUUCGCUUUCACGUUUGAUUUGAUUUUGCAGAUUUGAUUUUGGUGUGUUUUGAUUUAUUUUCCCUAUAAAUGGCAGAUAACGGUACUUCGUGACUUCUUAAGUCGAUAUCCUCAGUUUCUCACAAUAACUAAGAUCUCAAAAUCAAGCAUGGAAGAAAUACAACAUAAAUUGAAUAAGUGUUUUCCUUCUCUCCCUCAAAAUGCACUCAUAAAAAUUUACGAAGCACGUUGUGAAAGAUUGCGUUUGUUGAUGAUCAAUGGAAUUCCUUCUGAUAUUCGUUGGUUAAUUGAAGCAAAGGUCCGAUUAGCUGGUGAGUUUCCUAAUCCAUUUAUUUCUUACAUGCCUGGUUUUAGUAAAAGCACAUUUGCUAAAAAACAAAGAGCUAAAAGACUUGGCUCAUAAUGUCAUAAUUGUGUACGACUUACUUGCAAACUAGAAGUUUGUAAAUAUUUAGGAAUGGUUUUUGAUAAUUGAGAAGAUAAAAUUAAAUUCGUUAAAGAUGACAUGAGUAAAGAAUCGUUGGAUGAUAUCUUAUGAUCUCUUGAGACGCAUUGAAGCGGAGAUGUGCAAUAUGAGAUAUACAGGUUAUGCAGACUAUUCCAAAAAGAAAGUGCAUAGUUUAGUAUUGGGAAUCUGACUAAAAAAGACCUUGUUUGCCAGUUUAUAAGAAAACUGAAUGAGAAGCCUAUCCUCAACCCAUAAAGGGUGUUCAAGCCGUUACUGGACGUAAAACCAGAGGAAGAUGUGAGUCACAAUCACAACUGCCAGUAUAUAUCCUUUUAUUUUAUUGUUCUUUUAUCAUUUGCAUUAUUGCAUUUAGUGGUGUGAUUUUUUAUUUAAUCAUUAUUUGUUUUCUUUUACUUUUUCUUUUCACUGUUUGCUCUUUUUUUUACUGUUUGCUUUUGAAAAAUUGAGACAUGAGCUUUCCUCACCAUCUGACAAAUACACCAACCUAUUUACAACCGUUUCUCAUUUUUUCUGUCACUCGGAUCUUUAAAUAAGAGCUCUUUUUCCAACCACGUACAACUUGUUUUUUAAUAUUAUUCUAAUGGCAACAUCUUCGAGUAGACAAUUCAAAAACAUUUGUGUGCUCUCUGGAAUUCAUUAUGAAAAAUACAAAGAGUUCGUUCAAGCAGUUGUAGAUCUUGGUCAUGCCACAACUGAGAGGAAACUGCAUCUUGUAUAUGGAGGAGGUGACCGCGGGUUAUCAAAACUUGUCUCAGAAGCUUUUUUAUUAUAAGAAACCAGGUACUAUGUAUCAUUCCACAAGCCUUAAAACCUCUAGGAUGCAUGUCUGAUGUGCCAAUUGGAGAAGCGUUAGUUGUCUCAAGUAUGCAAGAGCGAAUAUCUGAGAUGUUAAAUCAUGCUAAUGCUUUCAUUUUCUUGCCAGGAGAUCUUGCAACUUUAGAGGCAUUGAUUACAUUUGCAUCUUGAUCCCAUUUAAACAUCCAUAAAAAACCCAUCGGUUUACUAAAUGUUAAUAAUUUUUUUGAUGGGUUGCUCACAUUCAUUAACCAUGCAAUUAAGAAUAAUUUUAUUUCAAUCUCUGCGAAAAAUCUCUUUGUUUGUGUUUCUACUACUAAUAAGUUACUUGAUCUUUUACAAGCUUACAAACUAGAGGCAGAUCCUAGGACCUUGGCCUUGGAAUGGUUGACUAAUGAUGGUAACCCUAGCCCUAGUAAGAAGUACAAAUUGGAUUUAACUCUUCGGUUGUAACUAUCUUCUUGGAGUUAUGAGAUUAUGUCUUCUAAACUCUACUUCUUUUCUUUAAGCCAUUGAGGACAAUGUGUUGUUUAGGUUGGGGGGAGGGAAUAGUUAGCAACUGUGGAAUAUAGUAAAUCAUAGUAAUGCUUUUGUCGAAGAUGGCAGGAUAUGUGUAACGACUCUAGAAACGCAUCUUCAGCGGGUUGUUCAGGUGUGAUCUUUCGUAUUUCUUCUUUUAUUAUUUAUGUUUUUUUAAUCUUUUUUCCUUUUUGCAUGCAUAUUUUUAAAUUAUGAAUAAUGUUUAGAUUAGGUUGGGGGGAAGAGGUAGUUGACAUGUAAAUAUGUGUGUUUAUUUUAUUUUAUUUUAUAAAAAAAUUCCCAAAAAACCAAAAACAACAAUUUUUUUUUUUUGGUAUAGGAUGGUUGUGUAAAAAGUCAUGACUCUUGAGAUGCAUCCUAAUAAUUCUGUUCUGUUAUAUUUUGAUUUUAAAAUUCAUAGUAAAUUGUUUUUGUUCCUUUUUCUUUGAAUUACUCAAAUUUGUGAACUCUCCAUUUGGUUAUUAAAUUAUUUUGUUGUUUACUCAUUUAACAAGUAUUAUGAAAUCAUUCUUCACACACACACUAUGACACAUACUAGUGGGUUGUAAGUUAAAAUUUUUGCAGCAUUUAGUUCUUUUGAUUUAUUAGGGAUAAUAUCUAAGGUAGUAGAAAGUGUAUAUUGCAAAAAAGAAAAAAGAAAAAAGAAAAAAAUUGAAUGUGUUUAAUUUGUUAUAUCUAGAACCCGAGUAAUUAAGUCCGUAGGGGUGUUUCAACACCUAGUGCACUAAGGUCAACUGGUCUGGGAGUCACUAGCCUAAAGCUCGCUACAUGGGUUAUAGAUAUAUUGUUUGCUUAUUUAUUAAAAACCUAAGUAAUUAAGUCCAUAGGGGUGUUUCAACACCUAGUGCCCUAAGGUCAACUGGUUUGGGAGUCACUGACCUAAAGCUCACUACAUGGGUUAAAACUGCAAUAUUUUUGUGAAAAAAAAACAGCUUGAAUAAUCUACUGCCUGAAGAUAUAAUUUCUAAUGAGUUUAAAACGAAAAUAUUGUUUUCUUUUAAUGAAGCCCCAUAAGUAUUGUGUUAAUUAUUUGAGCACAAAAGAAGGUUUAUGAUAUUCUGGAUAAUAAGUGGACGACAAAGAGCUAAAGAAAUAUUGAGAGAGUUUAUUUAUUUGGUAGUUUAGAGGAUAAAUGAACAACUAUUAACUUGCAUGUGAAUUUUGUAAAUCUUAAUUUAAUAUAACAUUUUAAUUGCUAGGGGAUAGCAAUAAGCUAGUUGGGGGUGUGAUUAGUGUUAAAAAUUGUAUGUUUAUUAAGGGGUAAAAAUGUUAUUUUGUACUAUUAAUGUAAUUUAUAUUUGUAAUUAUGUAACAUAUUGUGAAUUUCUAAUUAUUUUUCUACGUAUUUGAUUUUGUGUAUUUUUGUGUGUUUAUUAGGUAAAAAUAAUAAUUUCAUGCAAUUUGAAGCUUCAAACAAAUGUACAAAAGUCAAAUUUGGAUUUCGGAAGUCCGAGAAAUUAUGUCAUUGUCGAGGAGGAUCCGAGACUUUUGUUGUAAAUUUUUAUAUUUUUACCACGGUAAAAGUGGUAAUUGUAAAAUUAUAAGUUUUUAUCAUGUUAGGUAUUGUAAUUGUUAGUGGAAUGUGUUGGAUAUGCUUGAGUGGAUUAAGUGAGGUUUACGUUUUAUUAGUGGGAUUAUUAGUGGGACAAAUGUAAGGUUAAUAUGUACUUAGAUUUUUUUAUUUGUGUGGUGUGGAUUUACCAUGUAUUAGUAUAAAUAGAGAGGGGGGUGAACGCACCUCUACACACCUUCUCUUCUCUUCUUUCACCCUAAAUUCUUCUUCUCAUCUCUCUUUGUAAUAUAUUUUCAAUAAAUAAAAUUAGUUUUAUUUUCAAUUUUCAAGCAUUUUUUUAAUUAUAUCUUUUUCUUUUUUAAAGAAAAUUCCUUUUAUUUUAAAUAUGUUUAGCUAAAUAUUAGCAGUUAGGGGAAGGUGAAACUCUUAGUAAAAAAAUAUGGUUUAACCAAAUUCUAUUUUUAAUU